rnacentral:rRNA from 1 species
GGUGAGUAACGCGUAGGAAUCUACCCAGUAGCGGGGGAUAAGCCAGAGAAAUUUGGUCUAAUACCGCAUACGCCCUUCGGGGGAAAGCAGGGGAUCUUCGGACCUUGCACUAUUGGAUGAGCCUGCGUGAGAUUAGCUUGUUGGUGAGGUAAUGGCUCACCAAGGCGACGAUCUCUAGCUGGUUUUAGAGGAUGAUCAGCAACACUGGAACUGAGACACGGUCCAGACUCCUACGGGAGGCAGCAGUGGGGAAUAUUGCACAAUGGGCGCAAGCCUGAUGCAGCCAUGCCGCGUGUGUGAAGAAGGCCCUAGGGUUGUAAAGCACUUUCAGCAGUGAGGAAAGGUUAGUAGCUAAUACCUGCUAGCUGUGACGUUAACUGCAGAAGAAGCACCGGCUAACUCCGUGCCAGCAGCCGCGGUAAUACGGAGGGUGCGAGCGUUAAUCGGAAUUACUGGGCGUAAAGCGCGCGUAGGUGGAUUGGUCAGUCAGAUGUGAAAGCCCAGGGCUCAACCUUGGAACUGCACCUGAUACUGCCAAUCUAGAAUACGG